AUUUAAAUAGUUUAAAUAAAAUAUUAGGUUGUGGGCUUAAAGAUAUAAAUAGAAUUUUAAAUA
rnacentral:tRNA from 1 species